UACGGAGGGUGCGAGCGUUGUUCGGAAUCAUUGGGCGUAAAGCGCAGGUAGGCGGUUCGGUAGGUCUUUCGUGAAAGCUCCCGGCUCAACUGGGAGAGGCCAAGGGAAACUACUGGGCUAGAGUGUGGUAGGGGAGACUGGAAUUCCCGGUGUAGCGGUGGAAUGCGUAGAGAUCGGGAAGAACAUCAGUGGCGAAGGCGGCCAUCUGGGUCUGAACUGACGCUGAGAUGCGAAAGCGUGGGGAGCAAAC
rnacentral:rRNA from 1 species